UGGUUUGGGGUUGGACAGACAGAUCUGUGCGGGACCGGAGGACCUGGGCCCUGGCAGGCGGGGACUCAGGUUACCUCGGCGGCUGCAGCCUCGCGGGGGGCUCCAGGGGCGUUUUCCUUUCCCCAGGGAAUGCGAUUAAAGGAACGAUGAUCAGGGCCCUGGGCUGAGACCUUGGCAGACCGGUUUCAUUGCAGGAAGCAUGAAGGGGCUGCUAGGCGUGGACCCAAGACAGCAAUGACAAUAUAAGUGACAAUGACAGGAGGCCUGACAGACCGACCCCUCCCUCCUUUGCCCGGUCCAGAGCAAGAGGACGGUGUGGUCCCCAUUUCACAGAGGGCAGACAGAGGUCCAGGGACACUCUGUACCCUCAAGCCGACCCCCAGUUCCUUCCUUCCGUGAGCGCCCCAAAUCCUGCACAGCCCGGCCUCCCGUUCCUCCUCCAGGAAGUCACGGCCGGUGCAGCUGUGUGGACCCAGUGAGCUCUGCAGUCUCUUUGCUUGUGACCUCGGCAGCCUACGGGACAUCGCUGACCAUCUCUGUAGAAUGGGUGUGUGAGAAGAAAGACUUCUGCCGGGACUGCUGUGCAGAGAACAGUGCUCAGCACAGUACCACGACGAGCAAGAGCGGUCAUUUCUGAUCAUGACCGCUUCCUCCAGGAAGUCCACCCUGAUGUGCUCAGGUUCCCCCAUCACAGAUCUUGUAAUCAGGUGGGAAACUGCCUCCUCCAGCAGCCGGGCUCCACCGCGCUGGGCCCAGUACCUGGGAGGCUCACAGGGUGGGGAGGCAUCCCGGACCCCGGCCUCCUGCCGUGAGUCCCCUCCCAAAGUCCUUCUGUGAGAGUUCCUGCUGCCCCUGCCCCGGCACACAGCUGCCGAGUGCAGGAGACACGGUAAGAAGAGGACCCCCGACAAGAACCAUCGCUGCCCUUCCCUCUGCUUGGUUUUCUCAGUACGCUGGUCGUAUUACGGUUUCCAACUUCCUGAUGGGGGAAGCUGAGGCACAGAGAGGGGCAGUGUCUACCCACAAGUCACACACCAGUGAGUGGCGGGCUGGACUCAGCCCGGGUGAGGGAGGGAGAGAAACCUCUCCGAGGCCCUCUCGACGCACCCUUCCUAAAGGAACCAGCCGCACUGCCCCCGCUUUGCAGGUGGACCCUGAGGCUCAGAGGGGCAGGUGGGCUGCCCAUCGGCCCCCAGAGACCGAAGCUGGGCUGGGCCUCCCGUCCCCUGCCUGUCAGUUUCUCCGGCCAGUGCUCCAGCCUCUGUUUACCCAGCCCAACACCCAGGACGCUGCUCUUCCGCCUGCCCCGGAGUCUUGGGCGCCUUCACAAUGGGGUCCUCUGUCUGCGGCUGGUUUUCAUUCCAGCCCUUUGUGCUGAAAAUAAAAAAAGAAAAGAAAAGAAAACUUGGCUCCACCCCUCCCCUUUGCUUCCUGUGGGGGGGACUCGGCUGCUUCUUCCCCUCACUUUGGGGCUCGGAGACAUCCACAGCCUGCCCGCGAUCAGACAGCAGUCUCUUUAGAUAAAUACCUACUGAACAUUUCCGGUGUGCCGUGUGCGGGGUACACAGCAGUGACCAAGGUGAAGCUGAAAUCACGUCUAGGUUGACAACAAAGUCGAAAGCACAGUCAGCCUUCUGGGUCUGCAAGUCCUGGAUCUACGGUUCCAACCAAACUUGGAAGGAAUAUAUUUUUGAAACCUC